AAAAAAAAUCAUAAAAGUUUUUCUUGAUCUCAGCUUUCACUCUCUUUCUUCAAGGGACUCUCAGGAUAAAAGAACAGCAACACAACCUCUUUCUCUCCCGGACAACCUUCCAUCUCUCAUUGUUUCUUCAAACACAACAACACAAAUCUCUCUUCAUACUCCCUUAAAUAGUAAUAAUACUUUAACACCUCCACCGCCUCUGUUUUGCCACCAGAAAUUUUAAGUGCUUCUCAUCAAAAACAUUCAUCAACGUGAAGCCGUCGGUAACCGCCACAAAGUCACUUCAAAACUCGCCGACGGACUCAUCCUUGACUUCGACGUCUCUUUGAUAUCAGGUAGUUGGAUUUGAUUCCUUAAUGUUUAUUUUUAAGUUGCAUUUACUUUGAUUCAUUAUUGGAGGAUGACGUGAUCUCUUUUUUUCUGCUAAUAUGCUUUGGCGUUUUGAUAUUUGUGUGUUGUCUCGAUUGUAUAUAAUUGUUUAGUGUGAGUAACUUAUGUUAAGGUUAAGUGUUCUUUUUUCUAUAUUGUUUAAUUUGGCUUUCUAAUGUGUCACGAUAAGGAUUUAAAGUUUAUAAAACAUAAUAGCAACAAAAUUCAUAUGGGCACUGUUGUACCGAAAAUGACUCAUCCAUAUCUCCUUUCAUGCUAAUGUGUACCGUAGUGACCUUUCCAUGCUAAUAUCUCAUACUUGAAGUUCAUAUGGACUUCAUGUAUACUGUAAAUGACAUUUAUAUGUAUUUUCUUUAUAUUGUUUUAUUUUUUAUAUUUUAUUUUGUUUUAUCUUCACUUUUAUUUUUUAUGUCUCCUUUUACUACAUAUUAAAAUAAAUACUUUGUUUCAUAAAUGAUAAUUGAAAAAUCUAACAAUCCACACUUUUUUAAUUUAAACGUAAUUCUUUUUGCUCAAUAAUUUGGAUGAAAAUAACUAAUUGUGUGUAGAAUUUUUUUUCUUCCUCGAGUAGUUAAACAUUGUUGUAGAGCUUUCUGCAUGAAUAAUCGUUUUCCGUUAAUGAACCUUGGCUUGAAUUUGCAUUAAGUUAGCUUAUAGCUAAAUUCACUACUUAAAAAUUCAAUUUAUUUGUUCAAUUGAUUUUCCACAAAUGCAUUGCAAUUUCGGAGUUAAAAAUUCAAUUUAACUUCAGAAAUUUCUUACACGCAUAGAGUCUUGUUGACCGGCCUCGGAUAUGGUGACUCCUACAUGAGUCACUUUAUGAUUGCUUAAUAUUGUGCUAAAUUUUUUUUUAGUUUAAUUUCUGAUUUUUAUUUCGAGUCCCUUGGCUUUCUCUUGGGCCUUCUUACAACGAGAUUCUUUAUUUUACAACUGUCUUUUGAACUUGUACUGUUUAAAUUAUUGUGUUAUAUCCCCAUUCGAAAAAUUGUACCCCCAUUCCCGAAAAUGUGUAAUAAGUUUAUCACUUUCAUUUACUUUAUUAUAUCACUUGAUUGUUAAUUCAAAGAUAAAAAUCAACCUUUUUUAGAAAAGAACAAAAAAAAACAAAUACUCGAUCCAACGUCGAGAAAUUUUCACACAAAAAAU
rnacentral:lncRNA from 1 species